UUGUAGCACUAUAUAUAUAUAUAUAUAGACUUUUUAGAUUAAAUAUUUGAGUUGUUAAUUGGGUUUGUAGAUUACUCACUCUUUGAUCUUAAUUUUCUGCUUCAGUUUAUCAUCUCCUCCAUGCUCUAUAUCUGUUUGUUGUCUUUUGGAUAUUUUUGGUCUGGAUCUGGAGUCUGAACAGUAGUGGAAGUGGUGGACCUAGUGACAGUGAACAUGAGCUACUGUUUAUUUCAUUAUCAUUGACUCUGAGGACUGAGGACUACUGAUGAGGCCGACACAGUAUACACCUACAGGGGGCUGCGGAGGACGACGAUGACAACCGCAACCACCACCACAACCACAAUGAACAAAUGAAUGAAUCUAAAAGAUCUCAGAUUCAAGAAUCAGGAUCAGAAUGGUGUUUGAUCCAGCUCUUCUGAUCUUUGCACAGAAAAACCCUAGAUGUCAAGAAUAUUAUACUGAUUCUAAUCUGAUCUCCAUAUCCUGAUUCCAUGUUUUGAAUCCUUGGUGAGAAAGGAAGGAUGUUGAUCUUUGUAUUUAUCACAGAUUGUAAUUCAUAUUCAUCUAAAUGAAACCUUUAUUGUAUUUAUUGUAA